rnacentral:lncRNA from 1 species
AAACCCAAACCCGCUCCACCGCGCCCCUCCCCAGCGUUUGAACGCUCCGAGCUCCGAUCAAUUCUCUCCGACCCUAGCAUUCGAGCGCUCCGAGCUCUCCCCCUCUCCAUCACCGCUGCUCAUCCCCCUCUCCCUAUUCCUCCGCGUCUUCUCUAAGCUCCGAUCCUAUCCCCAAACCACCCUCGCUUUCGCCCCCGAUCUUCUCGGCCCGGCGUGCUUCGAGGAGAUCCGGCGUCGCCCUCGACCUCCUCCCCCACGAGCGCGGCGGCACUCCCACGACCUCCCUCCGCCGCCACACCCUUUCCGUCUUCGGCAUCCGACACAGCCACUGCUGCCACUGCCAUCGAAUUCGGCUUCUCCCCACCGCAGGAGCUCUCUUAGAGGUUCGCCGAGAGGAACCUUAAGCCCUGUGCGGAUCUCAAUUGCGAAAUUGUGGAUCCUAGGGUUUUUGAGGAACGGUCAGCUCUGCGGCAGCGGCGGAGGCGGUGGCAGGGAGGUUGAGAGGUUGAAAGUGAGGGUUUAAAUUUGGGGAUUAAACAAAUCAAAUCUUCUUUUUUUUUAUUGCUUAAACCCAGUUAUUAUUACUAGCGGGUCGAGUUAUUAUAAUUUGUAUCAGAGCCGAAUACCAACCAAAAAUGUGAGAGCUAAGUGUUAUACGGGGCAAAAUGCUACACCAAUAGGUUUGGUAGAAACCACCUCUUGAACCCAUAGGAGCCACUUCUAGAAUCUUACAUCGCCUGAUAAUUCCGGUGUGUAUGUCUGUGAUCUAGGUUUGGACCUGACAAGAACGUCAGGGUCUAAACAUGGGAAAUUUGUAAUGCCCCAAUAGUUUUACAUCGGAUGGAAAAAUAAUUCUGAUUAGAAUAUAUGAGGUAUACAUGCUAGUAAUAAUAACUGGGUUUAAGCAUUUUGGACUGGUGGUUUGAGUCCAACGAGUUAUUGUUGUUAGCAGGUCGGGUCGUUGCAAGACCAACAUCCUGUCCUGUCGCGGAAGGUUAGGUUGGACUGAGUCACAUUCGAAAUGGCGGUAUGCCAGGUUGGACCAAGUCAUGUUUGAAGUGGUGCAAAGCUGGUUGGGCCGAGUAACAAUCAAGACCCGUGAGCGCUGUGUCUAUACAGUUUACAUGAAUUAGUUGUGUAUUUCUAAUAGUUCGAGCUUUUGAGAUUAAUAAUUAGCGCCAACGAUUCAACAGCUACUACUAGUUUACUACUACUAAGGCU